rnacentral:lncRNA from 1 species
UCUUCAGUAAUCGUGUGAACCAUCCUUACCUCCAGUUCUGGUGAUCUGAUCCUCUCUUCUGACUUCUGUGGGCUGCAGGCACGGAUGUGUUCUAGGGAACUGGACUGCUGAGGUAUCCGUGAAGAGGAGGUGCUGCUGCUGAGCUGUGGACUGAACGGCCGAUGUCCAGACAACACGGAUGGAGUCGCUCCAAAGAACCUUCCUAACAUCUGACUGGAAGCUAUUCAUGAGGAAGCAACGAAACUGCCAUCCACACCCCCGGGCUGGAGAGGCCUGGGGACAUCUGUGGGUGAACCAGACUGACCAGCUUGGCUCCCACACCUCAACCCAGUUCCAGCUUUAAGACCUAUAAAAGCUCCCGGAGCAGCAGUUUGAUGAUGCCCCCUCUCUGAGGCCUGCUUCUGCUGUACGGGGCAGCUCUAUGCACUUUCUCUGGAGCUCAUGUCUGUGAGCCUAUAAUAAACUCCUUCUGCAAACUC